UAGCGUAUAUUAAAGUUGUUGCGGUAAAAAAGCUCGUAGUUGGAUUUCUGUUGAGGACGACCGGUCCAUACCAUGUAUGCGCAUCUGGCUCGGCCUCGGCAUCCUCUCGAUAGACGUUUCUGCGCUUGAUUGCGUGGUGCGGAUUCGGGACUUUUACUUUGAGGAAAUUGGAGUGUUCACGGCAGGCAAUCGCCAGAACAUAUUAGCAUGGAAUAAUACUAUAGGAUCUUGAUUCUAUUUUGUUGGUUUCUAGAAUCUAGAUAAUGAUUAAUAGGGACAAUUGGGGGCAUUCGUAUCAACACGUC
rnacentral:rRNA from 1 species